rnacentral:tRNA from 2 species
GGUUUCCUAGUGUAAUGGUUAUCACAGCGGAUUUUGAUUCCGUUAAUCCGAGUUCGAUUCUCGGGGAGACCU